rnacentral:rRNA from 1 species
GACGAACGCUGGCGGCGUGCCUAAUACAUGCAAGUCGAACGCAGUGGGGACGGGUGAGUAACACGUGGGUAACCUCCCAUCAGAGGGGAUAACACUUGGAAACAGGUGCUAAACUGAUACUUUUGGAUGGAUCCGCGGUGCAUUAGCUGGUUGGUGAGGUAACGGCUAACCAAGGCCACGAUGCAUAGCCGACCUGAGAGGGGGGUGGGCCACACUGGGACUGGGACACGGCCCAUAAUCCUACGGAAGGCAGGAGUAGGGAAUCUUCGGCAAUGGAGGAAAGUCUGACCGAGCAACGCCGCGUGAGUAAGAAAGGUUUUCGAAUCGUAAAACUCUGUUGUUAGAGAUGCGGUAUCUAACCAGAAAGCCACGGCUAACUACGUGCCAGCAGCCGCGGUAAUAC